GACAGAGGUGCCAAGCGUUAGGCGGAAUCACUGGGCUUAAAGCGUGUGUAGGCGGGUGGCUAAGUACCUUGUGAAAUCCCACGGCUCAACCGUGGAACUGCUCGGUAUACUGGGUGCCUUGAGCCACUUAGGGGCUACCGGAACAAAUGGUGGAGCGGUGAAAUGCGUAGAUAUCAUUUGGAACGCCAAUGGUGAAAACAGGUAGCUGGGAGUGUGCUGACGCUGAGACACGAAAGCCAGGGGAGCGAACGGG
rnacentral:rRNA from 1 species